rnacentral:lncRNA from 1 species
AUGCACUGCUGCCGGGGAUCUGGGCCGGUUACCCAGCAUCCCUGUGGGACCGGUGGAGAGACCUCAGUUCCAUCUCCACCUGCCAUCUGUGGGUCUUCCCAGGACCGUUCUAUAAGGUUGCUCACCUCUGGGGCUGGUUGGACAGAAGAGGGUAUGGUGUCCAGGUAAUCCCCUGGGCCGAGAGACGGUGGUUGGGCUAAGUUGAACAGGCGUUGGUAGUUCUGCUCCAGCGCCCACUCCAUUUUGACCAGAUGAAUCAGGUCUGGCCCCAGGUUGUCUGCUCGGGGAAGAUCCAGCAGGGUUUCCCU